AACUGCGUCUGGCAUGAUCGUUUGUACUUCAGAUAUGACAUGGAUAAUACCCGGUAGGGAUCAAUCGGAAACGUCUGGUUCAGAAGGCAGAAAGCAAGGAGAGUCUGAGGACAUAUGGGGUGUAACCGAGUUGGAACUCGAUAAGAUCGGGGUUUCACAUUGCCAUUAGGAUAGAUUUUUCCUUUUGUGCGUAAUUACCUCUUUUCAGGAAUUGCUUCCUUUGUA
rnacentral:lncRNA from 1 species